GACGAACGCUGGCGGCGUGCCUAAUACAUGCAAGUCGAACGCAGUGGGGACGGGUGAGUAACACGUGGGUAACCUCCCAUCAGAGGGGAUAACACUUGGAAACAGGUGCUAAACCGAUACUGAUGGAUGAACCCGCGGUGCAUUAGCUAGUUGGUGAGGUAACGGCUCACCAAGGCCACGAUGCAUAGCCGACCUGAGAGGGGGAGCGGCCACACUGGGACUGAGACACGGCCCAGACUCCUACGGGAGGCAGCAGUAGGGAAUAUUCGGCAAUGGGCGCAAGUCUGAGCGAGCAAUGCCGCGUGAGUGAAGAAGGUUUUCGGAUCGUAAAGCUCUGUUGUUAGAGAAGCGGUAUCUAAAGAAGAAGCCACGGCUAACUACGUGCCAGCAGCCGCGGUAAUAC
rnacentral:rRNA from 1 species